rnacentral:rRNA from 1 species
GAUCAUGGCUCAGGAUGAACGCUAGCUACAGGCUUAACACAUGCAAGUCGAGCGGAACACCUUCGGGUGUUAGCGGCAGACGGGUGAGUAACACGUAUCCAACCUUUCCCUUACUCGGGUAUAGCCUCGGGAAACUGAGAGUAAUCCCCGAUGUGGUGCACGGAAAGCAUUUUUUGCGCACGAAAGAUUAAUCGGUAAGGGGUGGGGAUGCGUUCCAUUAGGUAGUAGGCGGGGUAACGGCCCACCUAGCCGAUGAUGGAUAGGGGUUCUGAGAGGAAGGUCCCCCACAUUGGAACUGCGACACGGUCCAAACUCCUACGGGAGGCAGCAGUGAGGAAUAUUGGUCAAUGGGCGAGAGCCUGAACCAGCCAAGUAGCGUGCAAGGAUGACGGCCCUAUGGGUUGUAAACUGCUUUUGUGCGGGAAUAACGGUCGCCACGUGUGGUGAUGUGCAUGUACCGUACGAAUAAGGAUCGGCUAACUCCGUGCCAGCCGCGGC